rnacentral:rRNA from 1 species
GUGGGGAAUAUUGGACAAUGGGCGAAAGCCUGAUCCAGCCAUGCCGCGUGUGUGAAGAAGGUCUUCGGAUUGUAAAGCACUUUAAGUUGGGAGGAAGGGCAGUAAGUUAAUACCUUGCUGUUUUGACGUUACCGACAGAAUAAGCACCGGCUAACUUCGUGCCAGCAGCCGCGGUAAUACGAAGGGUGCAAGCGUUAAUCGGAAUUACUGGGCGUAAAGCGCGCGUAGGUGGUUUUGUAAGUUGGAGGUGAAAUCCCCGGGCUCAACCUGGGAACUGCCUCCAAAACUGCAUGACUAGAGUACGGUAGAGGGUAGUGGAAUUUCCUGUGUAGCGGUGAAAUGCGUAGAUAUAGGAAGGAACACCAGUGGCGAAGGCGACUACCUGGACUGAUACUGACACUGAGGUGCGAAAGCGUGGGGAGCAAACAGGAUUAGAUACCCUUGUAGUCC